rnacentral:rRNA from 1 species
CCUACGGGUGGCAGCAGUGAGGAAUAUUGGUCAAUGGGAGGAAUCCUGAACCAGCCAUGCCGCGUGCAGGACGACGGCUCUACGAGUUGUAAACUGCUUUUGUACCGGGGUAAAAUGCUCUACGAGUAGGGUUUUGAAAGUACGGUACGAAUAAGGAUCGGCUAAGUCCGUGCCAGCAGCCGCGGUAAUACGGAGGAUCCGAGCGUUAUCCGGAUUUAUUGGGUUUAAAGGGUGCGUAGGUUGUUUUAUAAGUUAGCGGUGAAAUACCGAUGCUCAACAUCGGGGCUGCCGCUGAUACUGUAGGACUAGGGAUCGGAUGCAGCAGGCGGAAUGUGUAGUGGAGCGGUGAAAUGCAGAGAUAUUACACAGAACACCGAGUGCGAAGGCAGCUUGCUAGGCCGGAUCUGACACUGAUGCACGAAAGCGUGGGGAUCGAACAGGAUUAGAUACCCCGUGUAGUC